rnacentral:rRNA from 1 species
UACACGUGGGGCAAGCGUUGUUCGGAAUUACUGGGCUUAAAGGGUGCGUAGGCGGUUUGUUAAGUCACUGGUGAAAGUUUUCGGCCCAACCGGAAAAUUGCCUGUGAUACUGGCGAACUUGAGUGCGUGAGGGGUGGGGGGAACGAGCAGUGUAGCGGUGAAAUGCGUAGAUAUUGCUCGGAAGGCCGGAGCCGAAGGGGCCCCACUGGUACGUAACUGACGCUGAGGCACGAAAGCGUGGGGAGCAAACAGG